CAGUCGCCGCGGGAAUACGUAGGUGGCAAGCGUUGUCCGGAAUUAUUGGGCGUAAAGGGCUCGCAGGCGGUCUCUUAAGUCUGAUGUGAGAGCCCCCGGCUCAACCGGGGAGGGUCAUUGGAAACUGAGAAACUUGAGUGCAGAAGAGGAGAGUGGAAUUCCACGUGUAGCGGUGAAAUGCGUAGAGAUGUGGAGGAACACCAGUGGCGAAGGCGACUCUCUGGUCUGUAACUGACGCUGAGGAGCGAAAGCGUGGGGAGCGAACAGGAUUAGAUACCCGCGUAGUCCCUGUCUCUUAUAC
rnacentral:rRNA from 1 species